AGCUGUUCCCCUCUGGAGGUUAAAUAACCUUCACACUUCAUGGGCCUCGGUUCUUCCGACGGCCCAUUUUUUUAUUCCCG
rnacentral:sRNA from 1 species